rnacentral:misc_RNA from 1 species
AAAGUCGUAACAAGGUUUCCGUAGGUGAACCUGCGGAAGGAUCAUUACAUGUGGCGCGCCGAAAGGCCGCCGCUUGGGAUAGAACCCUUGCCUUUUUCGAGUACCGUACCGUUUCCUCGGCAGGCUCGCCUGCCAAUGGGGACCCCACACAAAACCUUUUGCAACCAACCUGAACGCAGUCUGACAGAAAAACAAAUAUAAAUCAAAACUUUCAACAACGGAUCUCUUGGUUCUG